rnacentral:rRNA from 1 species
UACGAAGGGUGCAAGCGUUACUCGGAAUUACUGGGCGUAAAGCGUGCGUAGGUGGUGAGUUAAGUCUGUCGCGAAAGCCCGGGCCUCAACCUGGGAAUGGCGAUGGAUACUGGCUCGCUAGAGUGCGGUAGAGGAGAGUGGAAUUCCCGGUGUAGCAGUGAAAUGCGUAGAGAUCGGGAGGAACAUCAGUUGCGAAGGCGGCUCUCUGGACCAGCACUGACACUGAGGCACGAAAGCGUGGGGAGCAACAGG